UGAGGGGGAGAGGAGAGGAGAUGAGAGAGGAGAGCAUCCAAGAGACGAGCGGAGGAGUAGAGGAAGAAAAUGGGGAGGACAGGAAAAGAAGGGGAUGAGAAGAGGAGAGGAGGCACAUCCAGGCGCUACAAACCCGGCUCACUAAGACCCUCAUCAGCUCCGGCCCAAUCGCAGCGUGGGGCGGCCGUCCACCUACAGCGCAGGGACAGGGGCAGCAUGCUGAUCAGAGGAUUACACCUGCACCGCGCUCCUACACAGGCGACAGACGGGAGCGACUGAGGGAGCAAGACGGGAGGAGAGGAAAAGCGAGUGAAAAAGCAACCAUGGUAUUGAUUUCAGAAGGG